GAUGAACGCUGGCGGCGUGCUUAACACAUGCAAGUCGAACGGAAAGGCUCCUGCUUGCAGGGGUACUCGAGUGGCGAACGGGUGAGUAACACGUGGGUGAUCUGCCCUGCACUUCGGGAUAAGCCUGGGAAACUGGGUCUAAUACCGGAUAGGACGAUGGUUUGGAUGCCAUUGUGGAAAGUUUUUCGGUGUGGGAUGAGCUCGCGGCCUAUCAGCUUGUUGGUGGGGUAAUGGCCUACCAAGGCGUCGACGGGUAGCCGGCCUGAGAGGGUGUACGACCACAAUGAGACUAAGAUCCGGCCCAGAUUACUAAGGGAAGCAGCAGUGGCGAAUAAUGCACAAUAGGAGCAAGCCUGAGACAACGACGCCGGGUAGGGGAUGGCGGCCUUCGGGUUGGAAACUCCUUUUGAUAGGGACGAUGCGCACGUGACGAUACCUGGCGAAACAACACCGGCUAACUACGUG
rnacentral:rRNA from 1 species